UACGUAGGGUGCAAGCGUUGUCCGGAAUUAUUGGGCGUAAAGAGCUCGUAGGCGGUUUGUCGCGUCUGCUGUGAAAAACCCGAGGCUCAACCUCGGGCCUGCAGUGGGUACGGGGCAGACUAGAGUGCGGUAGGGGAGAUUGGAAUUCCUGGUGUAGCGGUGAAAUGCGCAGAUAUCAGGAGGAACACCGAUGGCGAAGGCAGGUCUCUGGGCAUUAACUGACGCUGAGGAGCGAAAAGCAUGGGGAGCGAACAGG
rnacentral:rRNA from 1 species